GUCUAAUUGGGGCCUCCCAUUGCUUUCAAUGGGACGAAAAUUGUAUAAAAACCCUGAGCCGAUCACACUGAGACCACCACAAUCAAGACUCAGCUUGGCAGAGCUACGUGGUCCAUCCUUUGCAGGUCUUCACAAGGCAGUCCUUCUCUUUUGUUCACACUACUCUCCCUUAUAAUAGGAGAGUGGAAACUUGAGCCAGAUUUGUGCAGAGCUGCUAAUCUAUACAGAAGGCUGUUACUUCAUAACAGUGAAAAUGAGAGCUGGUUGUAUAUUCGAGUGGAUUUGAGACAGAGUCCGGAAGACCGUGAAAGGGCCAUCUUGGCUUUCUACAAAAGGCCAAAUGUACAAUGGGCAAGCCCCUUAUCAGUAUAUCUUGAAGGUAUGCUUUUUUCCCAUCCAUUUUGUGUAAUGUCCAGAUUCCUUGUGGAGAGUGCCAUUUUCCAAGCAGUGGGCCACAUGACUGAUCAUUGCUUUCUGCAUGUGGGUCCACCGCUAACAGGAUUGAGUCCAGCUGUGGUGUGCAUAUUAACUGGCGGUGAGGAAGAAUGUGCUCCUCUGCACAAGACUGCCUUGAUAUGGAUGUACGUGAAGUAGUGGAAAUGCUGGACAGCCAAAAGGAGCUUACACAGGAAGAUAAGGACAAAAUGUCUGACAUUAUUUUGAACUGGGAUCUUCCACCUGUCACUCAAGAAAACAGACGAUGGCUGGCAGAAAAAAUCCUCCUUCAUGCAAAUUGCCUGACCUUCAUCCUCCACUUCAGACAGUGAAGAUGAGACUGAGUGUAGCAUCGAUAGCAAGUGUCGUGUUGCUAGCUUUUUUCGACAAUUCAUUGAAAAUGCCUCAUCUGCAGAGCUGAGUGACCUCCUAAAAUUCUGGAUAGGAUGGGCAAUUUAACCGCAACAUCUUAAUGUGGAGGUGACCAGUGACAUAAAGAUGUCUACAGCGGCUACAUGUAUGGAAACUAUCAAGCUACCUGGGCAUUACACAGAAUAUUCACAUUUUUCCACUGACCUCAAAUCUGCUGUUUGCACUACGGAUAGUGGAUUUGGACUUGUGUAAGGCUGUAUUCACUAUAGGUGAAGUAUUAAACAAGCAGAAAAACAUGUAUGCAUUGAAAUGCUCCCUGAUUUAACUAAUUGUGUUAAUUGGACCAAUUGAACUACUCUUCCCAGUUCUGAAGGUUUUGGUCGGUGUUGGAGACCUGCAGGACUACAGGCCUCCAGGACCAAGAUUGGGGUCGACUGCUCAAUUUAACCUACCACUGUGAAUAAUAACAAUAAUAACUUGAACUGCAAAGCAGUUUUACAGCUUCCAAGCAAGUAACAUUGUUAUUAUACUAUACUGUAGCAAAGCAAUGUGCAAGAAAGUUUUUUCCAUUUUUUUUUUAACUUAUCAGGCAGUCAUUGGUUUAAGGAGGAAGAAUAUUUUUAUUUUUUUCCGUUUUAAUUCUAUUGUCCCCAAGAUAAUUAUUACAAAGUUUGGCUACACAGUUUUUGGUUAGAAGCAGGUAGUGACUAGUUGUUGCAAAAUGUGUGGCAGCUUUUUUUUAUUUUAGAAUGUAUCAAAGCAACUUAUGCUUUGCAAACUUGAACCAUGUUUGGUUGUUAAUAUUUAGCAAGUUUCAAAUGAAUGGCAUCACUUGUUUCCAAGAAGAUUUUAAAUUAUUACUUUUUUUGUCAGGUGGCCAUUGGUUUAGGUACAUGUUAAUUAUACAAUCACACGGUGAUGAUGCUUUUGAAGUUUGAAUUCACCUAAACCAUUUUUCAGACCUGAUGCAUGUUGGUUUGAUGUCUGCCAACUUUUAGAUCAGUCCCUCCACCUGUUCUUGAGAAGUUUUGAAAGUUUUUUUUUUUUUUUUUUUUUUUUGUUAAUCACAUCAGGCAGCCAUCUUGGAACAUUGUGAUUGUUUUUACACAGGGUUGCAUUCAAUCACCUAAACCGUUUUUCAACUUAAGUGGGGUUAAGUUUGAGAAGAAAAUGCAUCUGUGGCGGCAAUCUUGUUUUAUGGAUGAACACCAAAAAAAAAAGUUGUACCUGUAAAUAAAUCAAUACAACAAAUGUAAACUAAAGAAAAGUAGUUUUGCUAUUGUGUCCUUGUGUCAGUUGUUACACUGAAACCUUAAAAUGGCCAUUUGUUACAAUAAGUAAUUCUUCAUAUUGUCACUGUGCAUAUUAGUUACAGCCAUUGCUUGAACUGAAGUAUGUAACCUGUGGAGAUAUUUUUAAACACAGGAAAAACAGGGUUUGGUGUAAAGCUACUGUAUCAAGACUCAUCCCAACCUUUUUAUUCAUUAACUUUAAAAUGUGAACAACAGAAAAAAAAGACUUUGUUCCAAGACCAUGGUCCCUAUAUAAAAAAAUGCAAUGCUUGUAUAAACCCAAACAGUACACCUUAUAAAAAAAUAAAAAUAGUAGCAAGAAAUCACAGGUGUGAUAAGAAAUCUGCU